CUUGGCCGACCAGGGCACGGUCCAGGAGUAUGCAUUGUACUCGCUUGCUCACCUCAAGCGGCGAGGCGGCGCUGUCGGUGUCGCGGUGGGCGUUGCGCGCAGGUUGCUGUCGGACCCAAGCUGGCGGGUACGG
rnacentral:SRP_RNA from 1 species